ACCACUCUAUGGAUAUACCUGUUCGGUUUAAAGAUGGAAAUCAGUCUAUUGAGAAGAGAAGAGUCCAGCAGCAGAGAGCAGACUCCCCUGGACCCAGCUGUGUCUCCAUGCAGAGUGACCGGUCUAUGGAUCUACCUUUCACCUUUAAAGAUGGAAAUCACCAACCUCCUAAGAAAAGAAGGAGGCAGCAGAGAGCAGACUCCCCUGGACCCAGCUGUGUCUCCAUGAAG